UACCGGCGGCUCGAGUGGUGGCCGAUAUUAUUGAGUCUAAAGGGUCCGUAGCCGGCUUCGCAAGUCCCCUGGGAAAUCCAGCGGCUCAACCGUUGGGCGCUCAUGGGAUACUACGAGGCUUGGGACUGGGAGAGGCGAGAGGUACUCGAGGGGUAGGGGUGAAAUCCUGUAAUCCUUCGGGGACCACCGGUGGCGAAGGCGUCUCGCCAGAACAGGUCCGACGGUGAGGGACGAAAGCUAGGGGCACGAACCGG
rnacentral:rRNA from 1 species